rnacentral:rRNA from 1 species
UAGUGGCGAACGGGUGAGUAACACGUGGGCAAUCUGCCCUUCACUCUGGGACAAGCCCUGGAAACGGGGUCUAAUACCGGAUAAUACUUUCUCCUGCAUGGGGGAGGGUUGAAAGCUCCGGCGGUGAAGGAUGAGCCCGCGGCCUAUCAGCUUGUUGGUGGGGUGAUGGCCUACCAAGGCGACGACGGGUAGCCGGCCUGAGAGGGCGACCGGCCACACUGGGACUGAGACACGGCCCAGACUCCUACGGGAGGCAGCAGUGGGGAAUAUUGCACAAUGGGCGGAAGCCUGAUGCAGCGACGCCGCGUGAGGGAUGACGGCCUUCGGGUUGUAAACCUCUUUCAGCAGGGAAGAAGCGUGAGUGACGGUACCUGCAGAAGAAGCGCCGGCUAACUACGUGCCAGCAGCCGCGGUAAUACGUAGGGCGCAAGCGUUGUCCGGAAUUAUUGGGCGUAAAGAGCUCGUAGGCGGCUUGUCCGCGUCGGNAUGUGAAAGCCCGGGGCUUAACCCCGGGUCUGCAUUCGAUACGGGCAGGCUAGAGUGUGGUAGGGGAGAUCGGAAUUCCU